CACACACAUGCAAUUAUUAUAUAAUUCUGUGUAUUCCACAAUAUAAAAAAUUCUUUUUGAUUGGAUGGAGCAAUGUUGGUAUCACGUUUUUUAUACUUAGUAUAAAAAGCUAAUCUUAUUUGUUUCGAAUGUUUACAUUAUUUCAAAUACAUUUACGUAGUUUUUUUUGUACGCACAUUUUUUAUAUACAUAUACGUAGAUAUAUUUGUAUGUGGGCGUGGGUGUGUGUGUGUGUGUGUGUGUGUGUGUGUGUGGGUGUGGGUGUGUGUGUGUGUAUGUAUAUACACGUAACGAUUGUAAAAAUUCAAUGUGUUGGACUUAAACUUAAUUUUUACUUAUGUAAUAGUUACAUUUAUUUCUUCAUUUUGUAUCUUAUCAGAAUAGGGAAUUUGAAUUGAAUUAUAAACGAAAUCAAACGUACUUUAAUUGAAGGGAAAUCAUCGAAGAUAAACAAUUCAAUUAAUAGAAUAUAUAUUCUUUACUUAGUUUGCUCGAAUGCAAUAGCCAUUUAUUUUGCGCGAUAUACGUAAUUUAACUGAUAAAAAAGCCAUUAUUGAUUAUUAUUUUAUUCAAUAUAUUUUUUCAAUUCAAUUUGAACUCAACGGUCGUUGCUAUUAUAAUAUCCAUAUAUAAUCACAUAGCAGUAUCUAUAUGUAUGUGUAAACAUGGCGGCAUUACGAGGAAAAUUCUUUACUGUUGUGGAUACAUUUUCAUUUUUCACCGAGAAAAAAUCAUUAAAUUUUAAGAAGUAUGUGUCAAUAGUACGCACAACGAUAGGAAGAACUUUUUCAGUAAAAACAAUUAAAGAUAUCGAGGAAAGAAAGGUCAAUGUCAAUGGGUUUGAUAUUAAUUAUGUUAGAGUCGGGAUUGGUAAUCAUCCUGUUCUCCUAUUACCUGGUGCCCUAGGAACUGCUUGGACUGACUUCAAACCUCAACUGGAAAAUCUUGAUAAAAAUAAGUUGACUGUAGUAGCAUGGGAUCCACCUGGAUAUGGAAAAUCGAGACCACUGAACAGAAUAUAUUCAGAUGAUUUUUUGCAACGUGAUGCCGAUUAUGCUUUUAAUUUAAUGAAAGUUCUAGGAUAUAAGAAAUUCUCUUUGAUUGGAUGGAGCGAUGGUGGUAUCACGUCUCUUAUACUUGCUGCCAAAAAUCCUGAUAGCAUUCGUAAAAUGAUCGUAUUUGGUGCGAAUGCUUACAUUAUUCCCGAAGAACUCCAAAUUUAUAAAAGCAUUAAAAACAUCGACACUUGGUCGGAUAAAAUGAAACAACCAUUGAUUGAAGUUUAUGGGGAAGAGUAUUUUAGAAAUACUUGGUCCGAUUGGGUAGAUGGUAUGGAAAGAAUAUAUGAAAAAAACAAGGGUGAUUUGUGUAAAAAUGUUUUGGAUAAAAUAAAGUGUCCUACUUUAAUCGUACAUGGAGCAAAAGACGUAAUAGUAAAGCCAGAACAUCCAGUUUAUUUAAAAGAUCAUAUAAAAAAUUCUGAGGUGAUAAUAUUUGAAAAAGGAGCUCAUAAUUUACAUUUAAGAUAUCAUGAGGAAUUUAAUACAUUGGCCAUGAAGUUCUUGACAGAAGAUUGAAACAUUUUUUAAGUUUCUUAUUUUCUUAAUAAGGAUAAAUUAUACUGGGGAGACACGAAGCAUUCAUCCUACGAAGAAAGUGUCGUUCAAACACAUUUAUCUCAUUUAGGAACGUAAACUCAUAACCGGAUCGUUGAACGUCAUCGAGUAAGAAAGGCAUAGAACUCGAAAUCGUUUUUGGUUGUGGCAUACCGAAAGAGGCUUAACGUUUCCUUUGCCCACGCUGUAUCGCGAUUCUCCUUUCUCUGCUUGCGCUCUCAUGCCGGUUAUCCCACGUACGUCCUCCGUGCCAGGUCAUACGAUCGACGUGCCCGAUCGUGGCGAACCGACUACCUAGAGUGGUGCCUUUUAAAAAACAUAAAUCAAGUGUCACGUAUUGAAUUUUCUCCUCUUCUAUGGCAUCUCUUUUAUGCUUUAAGACGUUCGAACGAACAAGAGUUCUAGCUUACCAUCGAUCAAUAUUCCAUAAUUGAGAAUCACUUUUAGUCUGUCAGCAUUUUCUUUCUUAAUCAGAACAAAGACAUUUUUUUUUAAAGUUCCUAGAAAUUCUUUAUAUUUCAUAAUUUUUUUUUUAAUUUUAUCAUAUGUUAUAACCGUCUAACGUGAAAAGUCAAAGGGCAUGUUGAUUAGAUCGUUUAAUUGAUCGUCCUGAACUAUUUUUCAUUUCGAUUGUAAGACUAACUAGAUUAGAUUAUUAUUACGGUAACAAGCUGUCGUAAGUACGGGAAGUGUUGCUUAUAUAAUGCCAAGGCUAUGGAGUCAUUUGAUGAAGAUGGAAGAAGAAUCAAUACGAUAUGAGCAUUAGAUAGUGGACACGUACGAUCGUAGAUCUGACAUCCGUCCUCUACUUUGCCACUAGCAUAACAAGCAACUUCUAAUCUGCAUAUCAAUCAUGCACCAUACUGUUGAUUGCUUGAUACGUCACAACGAGAUUCUCAAUUUAUUGACAUAAACUAGAAAAAUAUCGGACGAUGUCACUUGCGAGUUUGCAGUUGAUGAGAGAGAGAGAGAAAGAGUCCAACGAAUUCAACGAGCUAAUAACGAAGUUCCUCUCGGGGCCAC